rnacentral:rRNA from 1 species
UACGGAGGGUGCGAGCGUUGUUCGGAUUUACUGGGCGUAAAGGGUGCGUAGGCGGAUACUAAGGUCAGAUGUGAAAUCCCGGGGCUCAACCCCGGAACUGCAUUUGAAACCGAGUGUCUAGAGUAUGACAGAGGAUGAUGGAAUUUCUAGUGUAGCAGUGAAAUGCGUAGAUAUUAGAAGGAACACCAGAGGCGAAGGCGAUCAUCUGGGUCAUAACUGACGCUGAGGCACGAAAGUGUGGGUAGCAAACGGG